CCUUCGGUAGCUCAGUUGGAAGAGCGUGAGACUGUAAUGGAUUCCGAACCGAGUUAUCUCAAGGCCACCAGUUCAAUCCUGGUUCGAAGGA